GACGAACCGUGCGAACGUUGUUCGGAAUCACUGGGCUUAAAGGGCGCGUAGGCGGGUCAGCAAGUCCGGGGUGAAAUCUUUCGGCUCAACCGGAAAAGUGCCUUGGACACUGCUGGUCUCGAGGGAGGUAGGGGUUUGUGGAACUUCUGGUGGAGCGGUGAAAUGCGUUGAUAUCAGAAGGAACGCCGGUGGCGAAGGCGGCAUCCUGGACCAACACUGACGCUGAGUGAGCGAAAGCCAGGGGAGCAAACGGG
rnacentral:rRNA from 1 species